rnacentral:rRNA from 1 species
UACGGGGGGAGCAAGCGUUGUUCGGAAUCACUGGGCGUAAAGGGAGUCUAGGCGGUUUGGUAAGUGGGAUGUGAAAUCCCCGGGCUCACCCCGGGACCUGCAUCCCAAACUGCUGAGCUUGAGUACAGGAGAGGGUGGGGGAAUUCCAGGUGUAGCGGUGAAAUGCGUAGAUAUCUGGAGGAACACCGGUGGCGAAGGCGCCCACCUGGCCUGCUACUGACGCUGAGAAGCGAAAGCAUGGGGAGCGAACAGG